UACGAAGGGGGCUAGCGUUGCUCGGAAUCACUGGGCGUAAAGGGUGCGUAGGCGGGUCUUUAAGUCAGGGGUGAAAUCCUGGAGCUCAACUCCAGAACUGCCUUUGAUACUGAAGAUCUUGAGUUCGGGAGAGGUGAGUGGAACUGCGAGUGUAGAGGUGAAAUUCGUAGAUAUUGCAAGAACACCAGUGGCGAAGGCGGCCACUCGUGCCCGAUACUGACGCUGAGGCACGAAAGCGUGGGGAGCAAACAGG
rnacentral:rRNA from 1 species